AUGAACGCUGGCGGCGCGCCUAAUACAUGCAAGUCGAGCGAGAAGACGUAGCAAUACGUUUGUAAAGCGGCGAACGGGUGAGGAAUACAUGGGUAACCUACCCUCGAGUGGGGAAUAACUAGCCGAAAGGUUAGCUAAUACCGCGUACGCUCCUUGGACUCGGUUCAGGGAGGAAAGCGAUACCGUGGGUAUCGCGGCUCUGGUUGGGCUCAUGUCCUAUCAGCUUGUUGGUGAGGUAACGGCUCACCAAGGCUUCGACGGGUAGCUGGUCUGAGAGG
rnacentral:rRNA from 1 species